rnacentral:rRNA from 1 species
GACGAACGCUGGCGGCAUGCCUAACACAUGCAAGUCGAACGAGACCUUCGGGUCUAGUGGCGCACGGGUGCGUAACGCGUGGGAAUCUGCCCUUCGGUUGGGAAUAACUGAGAGAAAUUUCAGCUAAUACCUUAUAAUGUCUUCGGACCAAAGAUUUAUCGCCGAGGGAUGAGCCCGCGUAGGAUUAGGUAGUUGGUGGGGUAAUGGCCUACCAAGCCGACGAUCCUUAGCUGGUCUGAGAGGAUGAUCAGCCACACUGGGACUGAGACACGGCCCAGACUCCUACGGGAGGCAGCAGUGGGGAAUAUUGGACAAUGGGCGAAAGCCUGAUCCAGCAAUGCCGCGUGAGUGAUGAAGGCCUUAGGGUUGUAAAGCUCUUUUACCCGGGAUGAUAAUGACAGUACCGGGAGAAUAAGCUCCGGCUAACUCCGUGCCAGCAGCCGCAGUAA